rnacentral:piRNA from 1 species
UAAUCAGGGUUCACUGGCCUCUUUAUUGC